AACGAACGCUGGCGGCAGGCUUAACACAUGCAAGUCGAACGCCCCGCAAGGGGAGUGGCAGACGGGUGAGUAACGCGUGGGAACGUACCCUUUACUACGGAAUAACUCAGGGAAACUUGUGCUAAUACCGUAUGUGCCCUUCGGGGGAAAGAUUUAUCGGUAAAGGAUCGGCCCGCGUUGGAUUAGCUAGUUGGUGGGGUAAAGGCCUACCAAGGCGACGAUCCAUAGCUGGUCUGAGAGGAUGAUCAGCCACACUGGGACUGAGACACGGCCCAGACUCCUACGGGAGGCAGCAGUGGGGAAUCUUAGACAAUGGGGGAAACCCUGAUCUAGCCAUGCCGCGUGAUCGAUGAAGGCCUUAGGGUUGUAAAGAUCUUUCAGUUGGGAAGAUAAUGACGGUACCAACAGAAGAAGCCCCGGCUAACUCCGUG
rnacentral:rRNA from 1 species